rnacentral:tRNA from 1 species
GUGGAUAUAGCUCAGCGGGAGAGCACGUGCCUAGGAGGUCCUGGGUUCAAUCCCCAGUACCUCCA